rnacentral:rRNA from 1 species
GACGAACGCUGGCGGCGUGCUUAACACAUGCAAGUCGAACGGAAAGGCCCUGCUUUUGUGGGGUGCUCGAGUGGCGAACGGGUGAGUAACACGUGAGUAACCUGCCCUUGACUUUGGGAUAACUUCAGGAAACUGGGGCUAAUACCGGAUAGGAGCUCCUGCUGCAUGGUGGGGGUUGGAAAGUUUCGGCGGUUGGGGAUGGACUCGCGGCUUAUGAGCUUGUUGGUGGGGUAGUGGCUUACCAAGGCUUUGACGGGUAGCCGGCCUGAGAGGGUGACCGGCCACAUUGGGACUGAGGUACGGCCCAGACUCCAACGGGAGGCAGCAGUGGGGAAUAUUGCACAAUGGGCGGAAGCCUGAUGCAGCAACGCCGCGUGCGGGAUGACGGCCUUCGGGUUGUAAACCGCUUUCGCCUGUGACGAAGCGUGAGUGACGGUAAUGGGUAAAGAAGCACCGGCUAACUACGUG